AAAGGAAUUGACGGGGGCCCGCACAAGCGGUGGAGCAUGUGGUUUAAUUCGAUGCAACGCGAAGAACCUUACCAUCCCUUGACAUGUAGAGAAGUUUCCAGAGAUGGAUUCGUGCCUUCGGGAACUCUAACACAGGUGCUGCAUGGCUGUCGUCAGCUCGUGUCGUGAGAUGUUGGGUUAAGUCCCGCAACGAGCGCAACCCUUAUCAUUAGUUGCUACCAUUUAGUUGAGAACUCUAAUGAGACUGCCGGUGAUAAACCGGAGGAAGGCGGGGACGACGUCAAGUCAUCAUGGCCCUUAUGGGAUGGGCUACACACGUGCUACAAUGGGAAGCACAAAGAGCAGCCAACUGGCAACAGUGCGCGAAUCUCAAAAAACUUCUCGUAGUCCGGAUUGGAGUCUGCAACUCGACUCCAUGAAGUCGGAAUCGCUAGUAAUCGUGGAUCAGAAUGCCGCGGUGAAUACGUUCCCGGGCCUUGUACACACCGCCCGU
rnacentral:rRNA from 1 species